AACGGCUCGCCUCGCCUGCUUCAGCUGCUUGUCCGCGGCUCCUUCCUCUCCGCUGGGGGAGGCUCGUCGCUUUGCCCGGUUGGGGCGCGGGCGGGAAGGUCUCCGGCUUGGCGAGGGGGCGCUGUCGCCCAGCAAACCGUUGCGCGGGUUAAAGACGACCAGCAAAGAAACAGAAGGACCAGGCAAGCGUGCUGCUGAUCAGGAGUCCUUCUCUGGAGGAAAAGCACUCAGCCUCUCCCAGAGCCAGCUGUCAGAGGGAGAUUGAGGUGUGUUGUCGGAGGAAUAUAAAGCUACAAUCAGCUAGGCGCUCUCUGCCAGACGCCACUACCUGGAACUCAAUAGAUAUUCAUGAACCCGCCCGUCUUUAGUGAAGGAAAUAACUUAAUGCCGACAGAGUCGAUGGAAUAAUGGCCGCUUCCUGGCUGACUUGCAGCCCUCAGAAAAUGAGAUUGCACCUGCCUUCAUUUUUCUUGUCUUUUCCGAGUUUCUUGCAGCAGAAUGCGCCAGCAACGGGGGAUGCGCCCUGCAUUACUAAUGAGAUGCAGGAGGAGGCCCCCCUGGCUCUCCUGGCGGGCAACUCCCCUUUCCUCUCCAUCUGGCCAGAUGGGGUUCCUUUCAUACUCACUUGGGUUUGGAGGAGGCAGAAGGCAG